GACACAGGUACAGGUGAGGAGGACACAGGUACAGGUGAGGUGGACACAGGUAGAGGUGAGGAGGACACAGGUACAGGUGAGGUGGACACAGGUACAGGUGAGGAGGACACAGGCACAGGUGAGGAGGACACAGGUACAGGUGAGGAGGACACAGGCACAGGUGAGGUGGACACAGGUACAGGUGAGGAGGACACAGGCACAGGUGAGGAGGACACAGGUACAGGUGAGGUGGACACAGGCACAGGUGAGGUGGACACAGGCACAGGUGAGGAGGACACAGGCACAGGUGAGGUGGACACAGGUAGAGGUGAGGAGGACACAGGUACAGGUGAGGAGGACACAGGUACAGGUGAGGAGGACACAGGUAGAGGUGAGGUGGACACAGGCACAGGUGAGGAGGACACAGGUAGAGGUGAGGAGGACACAGGUACAGGCGAGGUGGACACAGGUACAGGUGAGGUGGACACAGGUAGAGGUGAGGAGGACACAGGUACAGGUGAGGUGGACACAGGUCUGGGUGUGGUGGUGCAGGGAACCACGUGGCAGAGG